GAUCCUGGCUUAGGAUGAACGCUAGCUACAGGCUUAACACAUGUCAAGUCGAGGGCAGCAUGGUCUUAGCUUGCUAAGACUGAUGGCGACCGGCGCACGGGUGAGUAACGCGUAUCCAACCUGGCCCUUAGUAGGGAACAGCCCGGCGAAAGUCGGAUUAAUGCCCUAUGUUUUCCAAUGAUGGCAUCUGACUUGGAACAAAGAUUCAUCGCUAAGGGAUGGGGAUGCGUCUGAUUAGCUUGUCGGCGGGGUAACGGCCCACCGAGGCGACGAUCAGUAGGGGUUCUGAGAGGAAGGUCCCCCACAUUGGUACUGAGACACGGACCAAACUCCUACGGGAGGCAGCAGUGAGGAAUAUUGGUCAAUGGGCGCGAGCCUGAACCAGCCAAGUAGCGUGCCAGGAAGACUGCCCUAUGGGUUGUAAACUGCUUUUAUGCGGGAAUAAAGUCAGGUACGCGUACCUGUUUGUAUGUACCGCAUGAAUAAGGACCGGCUAAUUCCGUGCCAGCCGCUGC
rnacentral:rRNA from 1 species